rnacentral:rRNA from 1 species
CGGGGUGAGUAAUGUCUGGGAAACUGCCUGAUGGGGGGGGAUAACUGCUGGAAACGGUAGCUAAUACCGCAUAACGUCGCAAGACCAAAGAGGGGGACCUUCGGGCCUCUUGCCAUCGGAUGUGCCCAGAUGGGAUUAGCUAGUAGGUGGGGUAACGGCUCACCUAGGCGACGAUCCCUAGCUGGUCUGAGAGGAUGACCAGCCACACUGGAACUGAGACACGGUCCAG